CCUACGGGGGGCUGCAGUGGGGAAUUUUGCACAAUGGGGGAAACCCUGAUGCAGCAACGCCGCGUGAGUGAAGAAGGCCUUUGGGUUGUAAAGCUCUUUCGGCUGAGAAGAAGGGUCAUAUGGCUAAUAUCCAUGUGAUUUGACGGUAUCAGAAGAAGAAGCACCUGCUAACUUCGUGCCAGCAGCAGCGGUAAUACGAAGGGUGCAAGCGUUGUUCGGAAUUACUGGGCGUAAAGGGCGCGUAGGCGGGUUUGUAAGUCGAAUGUGAAAUCCCCGGGCUUAACCUGGGACGUGCAUUCGAUACUGCUAAUCUUGAAUGCUUGAGAGGGUGGUGGAAUUCCUAGUGUAGAAGUGAAAUUCGUAGAUAUUAGGAGGAACACCGGAGGCGAAGGCGGCCACCUGGCAAGACAUUGACGCUAAGGCGCGAAAGUGCGGGGAGCAAACAGGAUUA
rnacentral:rRNA from 1 species